GAUGAAGAACGCAGCGAAUUGCGAUAAGUAAUGUGAAUUGCAGAAUUCAGUGAAUCAUCGAAUCUUUGAACGCACCUUGCACCCUUUGGUAUUCCGAAGGGUAUGCCCGUUUGAGUGUCAUUGUAAUCUCACAUCCACGAUUUUUGUUAAUCUUGGACGGUGGACUUGGAGGUUGCUGCUGCAAAGUGGCUCUUCUUAAAUGCAUUAGUGGUGCUUGGUCUUGCAUUACAAAACUCAGUGUAAUAAGAUUCGCUGAGUUGGCUUGACUUUGAGCAAUCGCUUCAAACCGUCUCUAACGAGAGACUGUCGCACUUUGCGGCAUUUGACAACUUGACCUCAAAUCGGGUAGGAUUACCCGCUGAACUUAAGCAUAUCAAUAAGCGGAGGA
rnacentral:misc_RNA from 1 species